rnacentral:rRNA from 1 species
GACGAACGCUGGCGGCGUGCUUAACACAUGCCAGUCGAACGGAAAGGCCCUGCUUUUGUGGGGUGCUCGAGUGGCGAACGGGUGAGUAACACGUGAGUAACCUGCCCUUGACUUUGGGAUAACUUCAGGAAACUGGGGCUAAUACCGGAUAGGAGCUCCUGCUGCAUGGUGGGGGUUGGAAAGUUUCGGCGGUUGGGGAUGGACUCGCGGCUUAUCAGCUUGUUGGUGGGGUAGUGGCUUACCAAGGCUUUGACGGGUAGCCGGCCUGAGAGGGUGACCGGCCACAUUGGGACUGAGAUACGGCCCAGACUCCUACGGGAGGCAGCAGUGGGGAAUAUUGCACAAUGGGCGGAAGCCUGAUGCAGCAACGCCGCGUGCGGGAUGACGGCCCUCGGGUUGUAAACCGCUUUCGCCUGUGACGAAGCGUGAGUGACGGUAAUGGGUAAAGAAGCACCGGCUAACUACGUG